GUCCAGAGCAGAGGGGAGGAGCGGCGCCCGGACCCUGCGCUCGCUGAGCGCCCUCCAAGGUAGGCGAGCCCCUGCGAUCUGCGGGCAGGUCAACCCUCCCGCCCCCCAGAGUCAAAUGUCAAUUACAGGAAUCCAUCUUCAUCCUUCUCACCUUUUGGAAAUUGGAGUGGACGUGCUCCCCCUGUUGUGUCUGUUCACCAACAGCAAGAAGGCUCGCUCAAGCAUUGAGCUGUAAACUUCUAAUUAUUUUGCUGGACUUCACAAUGACGGCAGUAACAGUGACCACGACAGUUCCCCUGAAGGGGAAGAUAGAAGAUAAUUCUGCCUCGUAUGAGUCCACAUCAGCUCACAUUAUUGAAGAAACCGAAUAUGUGAAAAAGAUUCGAACUACUCUGGAAAAGAUCCGAAAUCAAAUAUUUAAAGAUGAAGUAAGACAUAAUAGUACAAAUCACAAACAAGGUGCAAAGCACUGUGGACACAUCCAAAAUGGCUUUGACUCUGAACUGGAUCCCUCUUGUUGCAGUUUGGAUCUGCUCAUGGAAAGGAUAAAAGGAAAAGACCUACAGCUCUUAGAAAUGAACAAAGAGAAUGAAGUGUUGAAAAUCAAGCUCGAAGCCUCCAGAGAAGCAGGAGCAGCGGCUCUGAGAAAUGUGGCCCAGAGAUUAUUUGAAAACUAUCAAACACAGUCUAAAGAAGUUAGACAGAAGCAUGAGGACAGUAGACACUUACUCCAGGUUAACACACUUGAAAAAGAACAGAAAUUGAAGCAACAUGUUGAAAAUCUGAAUCAAAUUGCUGAAAAGCUUGAAGAAAAACAUAAUCAAAUCACAGAACUGGAGAAUCUUGUACAGAGAAUGGAAAAGGAAAAGAGAACACUGCUAGAAAAAAAACUGUCUUUGGAAAACAAGCUGCUGCAUCUCAAAUCCAAGGCUACAUAUGCUAAAAGUUGCCAGGAUCUUCAAAAGGAGAUUUUCCUCCUCCAGGAGCAGAUCUCUCAUCUGCAGUUUGUGAUUCACUCCCAGCAUCAGAACCUGCGCAGUGUCAUCCAGGAGAUGGAAGGCUUAAAAAAUAAUUUAAAAGAACAAGAUAAAAGAAUUGAAGAUCUGAAAGAAAAAGUUAACAUACUGGAAGCCCAGAACAAAGAACUAAAGACCAAGGUGGCACUUUGGUCUGAAACUCCUAGGCCGAAGGUAUCCAAGGCUGUUUCUACAAGGACAAGUGUCUUCAACAACUACCUAAUAACGAACGAAUGAAGCAAUGAUAAUGACCCCUAAAGCAAUGGAAAUAAUAGUUGAAACCAUCACAUCACUUUCUAAUGUUGACAGAAUCAGAAGUGAGAGUGAAUUGAAGACUGAAGGCAUGACCCCAUAUUUGAUGUUGGUUAGGCUACGGAAAUGAGCCGCCUGGCUGAAGAUCUGAAUGAGAAAAAUCACUACCUGCGUCUUAUUUACUCCUUGAAACACAGUCUAAAUUUACAUAUUAAAACUGCUCAAUGCCAGUAUUUAAUGGAAUUUAUUGUAUUAUAUUUAAUGUAUACAUCAAUAACUUUGCAGGAAGAUGACAUUUCAGAAAAUCAAACAAAUAUAUAUUCAAAGAAAGGAACUCUUUCUUCAAAACGUACUAAUGGAUGAAGAAACCAGAUGCUUUCCCAUGAUGGAAGAUGAAUUUUGCUUUAAACUUUAAAAAAAAAACUGAAUUUUUUUUUUUUUUUGGCAGAUUUUUGCUGAAGGGACUGGUUAAGGUUGUCAACUUUGACCUUUUGAUACUGGUUUUUAUGUACAAUCAUCCCUAGGUAUCCACAGGAGAUUGGUUCCAAGAGCCCCCUCGGGUACCAAAACCCAUUCGGAUGCUCAGUCCCAUAUAUAAAAUGGCAGAGUGCAGUUGGCCCUCUGUAUCCAUGGUUUCCACAUCCAUGGAUUCAACCAAUCAUCAGUGUGGAACCUGCAGGUACAGAGGGCUGACUGUACAUAAAUGUAAGGAAAAAUAUACAGGCAUGCUUCCUUUUACUGUGCUUCACAGACUCUGUGGGUUUUUUUUACAAAUUGAAGGUUUGUGGCAACCUUGCAUUGUCAGAUGAUGGUUAGCAUUUUUUGGCAAUAAAGUGUUUUUAAAUUAAGGUAUGUAUAUAUAUAUUUUUAGAUAUAAUGCUAUUGCACAUUUAACAGGCUACAAUAUAGUGUAAACAUGACUUUUAGAUUCACUGGGAAACCAGAAAUUCCAUGUGACUCGCUUUGUUGUGAUAUUCUCUUUAAAUUGGUGCUCUGGUACUGAACCUGCGAUAUCUGUGUGUGUGUAUGUGUGUGAAUAAAUGAUAUAUUUUAAAGUUGA